rnacentral:rRNA from 1 species
AGCGAACGCUGGCGGCAGGCCUAACACAUGCAAGUCGAACGAAGUCUUCGGACUUAGUGGCGGACGGGUGAGUAACACGUGGGAACGUACCUUUUGGUUCUGAACAACUCAGGGAAACUUGAGCUAAUAACGGAUGAGCCCUUAGGGGGAAAGAUUUAUCGCCGAAAGAGCGGCCCGCGUUAGAUUAGCCAGUUGGUGAGGUAAAGGCUCACCAAGGCUACGAGCUAUAGCUGGUCUGAGAGGAUGAUCAGCCACGCUGGGACUGAGAUACGGCCCAGAAUCCUACGAGAGGCAGCAGUGGGGAAUCUUGCGCAAUGGGCGAAAGCCUGACGCAGCCAUGCCGCGUGAAUGAUGAAGGUCUUAGGAUUGUAAAAUUCUUUUACCAGGGACGAUAAUGACGGUACCUGGAGAAAAAGCCCCGGCUAACUUCGUGCCAGCAGCCGCAGUAAUAC